UACGAAGGGGGCUAGCGUUGCUCGGAAUCACUGGGCGUAAAGGGUGCGUAGGCGGGUCUUUAAGUCAGGGGUGAAAUCCUGGAGCUCAACUCCAGAACUGCCUUUGAUACUGAAGAUCUUGAGUGCGGGAGAGGUGAGUGGAACUGCGAGUGUAGAGGUGAAAUUCGUAGAUAUUCGCAAGAACACCAGUGGCGAAGGCGGCUCACUGGCCCGAUACUGACGCUGAGGCACGAAAGCGUGGGAGCAAACAGGG
rnacentral:rRNA from 1 species